GACGUAGGGCGCGAGCGUUGUCCGGAUUUAUUGGGCGUAAAGAGCUCGUAGGCGGCUCGUUGCGUCGGCUGUGAAAACCCGCAGCUCAACUGUGGGCUUGCAGCUGAUACGGGCGGGCUGGGAUUCGGUAGGGGAGACUGGAAUUCCUGGUGUAGCGGUGAAAUGCGUAGAUAUCAGUCGGAACACCGGUGGCGAAGGCGGCUUCUUGGGCCGUUUCUGACGCUGAGGCGCGAAAGCCAGGGGAGCGAACGGG
rnacentral:rRNA from 1 species